CGGUAACAGCGCACUUCGGAUGCUGACGAGUGGCGAACGGGUGAGUAAUACAUCGGAACGUGCCCGAUCGUGGGGGAUAACGAGGCGAAAGCUUUGCUAAUACCGCAUACGAUCUACGGAUGAAAGCGGGGGAUCUUCGGACCUCGCGCGGACGGAGCGGCCGAUGGCAGAUUAGGUAGUUGGUGGGAUAAAAGCUUACCAAGCCGACGAUCUGUAGCUGGUCUGAGAGGAUGAUCAGCCACACUGGGACUGAGACACGGCCCAGACUCCUACGGGAGGCAGCAGUGGGGAAUUUUGGACAAUGGGCGAAAGCCUGAUCCAGCCAUGCCGCGUGCAGGAUGAAGGCCUUCGGGUUGUAAACUGCUUUUGUACGGAACGAAAAGCCUCUUUCUAAUAAAGAGGGGUCAUGACGGUACCGUAAGAAUAAGCACCGGCUAACUACGUGCCAGCAGCCGCGGUAAUACGUAGGGUGCAAGCGUUAAUCGGAAUUACUGGGCGUAAAGCGUGCGCAGGCGGUUUUGUAAGACAGAGGUGAAAUCCCCGGGCUCAACCUGGGAACUGCCUUUGUGACUGCAAGGCUGGAGUGCGGCAGAGGGGGAUGGAAUUCCGCGUGUAGCAGUGAAAUGCGUAGAUAUGCGGAGGAACACCGAUGGCGAAGGCAAUCCCCUGGGCCUGCACUGACGCUCAUGCACGAAAGCGU
rnacentral:rRNA from 1 species